AUGAACGCUAGCGGCAGGCUUAACACAUGCAAGUCGAGGGGCAGCAUAAUGGUAGCAAUACUAUUGAUGGCGACCGGCGGACGGGUGCGUAACGCGUAUGCAACCUACCCUUUACAGGGGGAUAACACUGAGAAAUCGGUACUAAUACCCCAUAAUAUUCUGGGAGGCAUCUUUCGGAGUUGAAAGCUUUGGUGGUAAAGGAUGGGCAUGCGUUGUAUUAGCUAGUUGGUAAGGUAACGGCUUACCAAGGCGACGAUACAUAGGGGGACUGAGAGGUUAACCCCCCACAUUGGUACUGAGACACGGACCAAACUCCUACGGGAGGCAGCAGUGAGGAAUAUUGGUCAAUGGACGGAAGUCUGAACCAGCCAUGCCGCGUGCAGGAAGACGGCUCUAUGAGUUGUAAACUGCUUUUGUACGAGGGUAAACGCAGAUACGCGUAUCUGCCUGAAAGUAUCGUACGAAUAAGGAUCGGCUAACUCCGUGCCAGCAGCCGCGGUAAUACGGAGGAUCCAAGCGUUAUCCGGAUUUAUUGGGUUUAAAGGGUGCGUAGGCGGUUUAGUAAGUCAGCGGUGAAAUUUUGGUGCUUAACACCAAACGUGCCGUUGAUACUGCUGGGCUAGAGAGUAGUUGCGGUAGGCGGAAUGUAUGGUGUAGCGGUGAAAUGCUUAGAGAUCAUACAGAACACCGAUUGCGAAGGCAGCUUACCAAACUAUAUCUGACGUUGAGGCACGAAAGCGUGGGGAGCAAACAGGAUUAGAUACCCUGGUAGUCCACGCAGUAAACGAUGAUAGCUCGUUGUCGGCGAUACACAGUCGGUGACUAAGAGAAAUCGAUAAGCUAUCCACCUGGGGAGUACGUUCGCAAGAAUGAAACUCAAAGGAAUUGACGGGGGCCCGCACAAGCGGUGGAGCAUGUGGUUUAAUUCGAAGCAACGCGAAGAACCUUACCAGGUCUUGACAUCGAUCUAAAGGCUCCAGAGAUGGAGAGAUAGCUAUAGAGAAGACAGGUGGUGCAUGGUUGUCGUCAGCUCGUGCCGUGAGGUGUCGGGUUAAGUCCCAUAACGAGCGCAACCCCUACUGAUAGUUGCCAUCAGAGCGUUUGAGCGAUCAAACAAGCUGGGCACUCUAUCGGGACUGCCGGUGUAAGCCGAGAGGAAGGUGGGGAUGACGUCAAAUCAGCACGGCCCUUACGUCCGGGGCGACACACGUGUUACAAUGGUAGGUACAGAGGGCAGCCACCCAGUGAUGGGGAGCGAAUCUCGAAAGCCUAUCUCAGUUCGGAUUGGAGGCUGAAACUCGCCUCCAUGAAGUUGGAUUCGCUAGUAAUCGCGCAUCAGCCAUGGCGCGGUGAAUACGUUCCCGGGCCUUGUACACACCGCCCGUCAAGCCAUGGGAGUUGGGGGUACCUGAAGUGCGUAACCGCGAGGAGCGCCCUAGGGUAAAACUGGUGACUGGGGCU
rnacentral:rRNA from 1 species